UAGUAAGAUAGUGGCGGACGGGUGAGUAACACGUGAGCAACCUGCCUACGGGAGAGGGAUAGCGUCUGGAAACGGACGGUAAUACCACAUGAAAUCAUAUAGGGGCAUCUCUGUAUGAUUAAAGGAGGAAACUCCGCCGGUAGAUGGGCUCGCGACUGAUUAGGUAGUUGGAGUGGUAAUGGCACACCAAGCCUACGAUCAGUAGCCGGACUGAGAGGUCGAACGGCCACAUUGGGACUGAGAUACGGCCCAGACUCCUACGGGAGGCAGCAGUGGGGGAUAUUGCACAAUGGAGGAAACUCUGAUGCAGCGACGCCGCGUGAGGGAAGACGGUCUUCGGAUUGUAAACCUCUGUCUUAGGGGAAGAAGAAAAUGACGGUACCCUAAGAGGAAGCCACGGCUAACUACGUGCCAGCAGCCGCGGUAAGACGUAGGUGGCAAGCGUUGUCCGGAAUUACUGGGUGUAAAGGGAGCGUAGGCGGCUAUGUAAGUUAAAUGUGAAAGGCAACGGCUCAACCGUUGUAAGCGUUUAAAACUGCGUAGCUUGAGAUAGAUAGAGGCAGGCGGAAUUCCUAGUGUAGCGGUGAAAUGCGUAGAUAUUAGGAGGAACACCAGUGGCGAAGGCGGCCUGCUGGGUCUGGUCUGACGCUGAGGCUCGAAAGCGUGGGUAGCAAACAGGAUUAGAUACCCUGGUAGUCCACGCUGUAAACGAUGAUUACUAGGUGUGGGGGAUGGAAACAUAACCGUGCCGGAGUUAACACAAUAAGUAAUCCACCUGGGGAGUACGGCCGCAAGGUUGAAACUCAAAGGAAUUGACGGGGGCCCGCACAAGCAGUGGAGUAUGUGGUUUAAUUCGACGCAACGCGAAGAACCUUACCAGGUCUUGACAUUGAGCGAAUAUGUAAGAGAUUGCAUACUUUAGGGUAACGCAAAAACAGGUGGUGCAUGGUUGUCGUCAGCUCGUGUCGUGAGAUGUUGGGUUAAGUCCCGCAACGAGCGCAACCCUUACCAUUAGUUACUACGGAUAGAAGAGGACUCUAAUGGGACUGCCGUUGAUAAAACGGAGGAAGGUGGGGAUGACGUCAAAUCAUCAUGCCCUUUAUGACCUGGGCUACACACGUACUACAAUGGCGCUAAACAAAGCGAAGCAAUCCCGCGAGGGGGAGCAAAACGAAAAAAAGCGUCUCAGUUCAGAUUGCAGGCUGAAACUCGCCUGUAUGAAGAUGGAAUUGCUAGUAAUCGUAGAUCAGAAUGCUACGGUGAAUACGUUCUCGGGCCUUGUACACACCGCCCGUCACACCAUGAGAGCUGGUAACACCCGAAGU
rnacentral:rRNA from 1 species